UACGGGGGGGGUAAGCGUUGUUCGGAAUUACUGGGCGUAAAGGGCUCGUAGGCGGCCAACUAAGUCGGACGUGAAAUCCCUCAGCUUAACUGGGGAACUGCGUCUGAUACUGGAUGGCUUGGAUUCGGGAGAGGAAUGCGGAAUUCCAGGUGUAGCGGUGAAAUGCGCAGAUAUCAGGAGGAACACCGGUGGCGAAGGCGGUGAUCUGGGCCGACACUGACGCUGUAGAGCGAAAGCGUGGGGAGCGAACAGG
rnacentral:rRNA from 1 species